UUAUUUACCUAGCAGGACACAAAGGUGGUUUUCCCAGAUUAAGAAACAUCCAUUGCACUUUUGGUAUGCUGACCCCUUCGAUGAUCCUAAUUUAGGAAAAUCUGUUGUGUGGUUUGUGGUAAUAGAGGACUGCACUUGCACUCUCCCC
rnacentral:snRNA from 1 species